CUGAUGAGAACGUCCAUGUCACGGUGGAGCCUGCCUCCAACACUCUCCGCAAAGAGUUAAAAUUUGAUACAAAUACGUUACGUUGUAACAGUACAUUACGUGGUAACAUUAUGCGCAGACCGAACAGAGUGAGAAAAUACAGAGAUGAUGCCUUUUACUGGUACAAUGACAGACCCUUCCAGGACAAAUUCCAGUCCAUUCUAGCCCGAGGUGACUAUAUCAUGGACACAACUUCCCUGGCGCUGGACAGAUCAUACAGAUGGCCCAGACAGGACAAUCUCUACCAGAGCUACCAACUGGGCUGGAGAUGCAUGUAAAAGCAGUAAAGUCUGAAUCCACACAAUACCAUUAGUGGAAACCAGUCUUCAGCCGGCAGAACCACAGGAAUGAUUCAUUUUUCUUGACACCAUGUGGAUAAAUUUUCUUCUUUCUUGCUCAGGCAACCAACCAACCUCAGGGUUGGCAGUACAACAGGCAACUGAAUACCGCACAGCUGCUGCCCAUCACCCUAAAGGUCCCUUUACAUAUAUGACAGAGAAGCGUUCCUUCCUGACAAUCUGCUGCUCCCUGGUGGAAGAGCGAGCUGCAUUUAUAUGCACAGAUCUCCUCCAGAGUAUAGCAUAUGUUAGGCUACUUUCACACUAGUAUUAAUAUUUUCUGGUAUUGAGAUCCGUCAUAGGGUCUCAAUACCGGAAAAAAUGCUUCCGUUUUGUCCCCAUUCA